rnacentral:piRNA from 1 species
CUCUGUUUUCAUGCAUGUGCUCAGAAGUGC